rnacentral:ncRNA from 1 species
GGAGAGCCGCGACCACGGCUCCCGGACGAGCGGUGCCGUACCCGGUGUGCGACAAGACGGCGCCAG